rfam:Xenopus laevis strain J chromosome 6L, whole genome shotgun sequence.
UAUUCUCCAUGAAGGUCUGAUCUUAAAGUUACCCUGUUAACGGACCAGACCUGAGGCUUCCGAAUA